rnacentral:sRNA from 1 species
CAGGUCCUGACACAAAAACAACAUCUAGCAGUACUACAGAUGUGCCUAGGUGUACAGGGUCAACGUAUGGCUGUUGUCCAGAUGGCGUGACCAGUGCUCAAGGAAACAACUUUGAAGGAUGUCCUGGCACCCCAGAUACUGAAUGCUAUUAUAGUUUAUAUGGAUGCUGCCCAGAUGAAAAAACCAAAGCUCUUGGCAACAACAAUGAAGGAUGCUUUGAAACAACUCCCACGAUUGGUGGCUGUAAAGGAACUAGAUAUGGAUGUUGUCCAGAUGCAGUGACUCCUGCUCAAGG